rnacentral:rRNA from 1 species
GACGGAGGAUGCAAGCGUUAUCCGGAAUGAUUGGGCGUAAAGCGUCCGCAGGUGGCAGUUCAAGUCUGCUGUCAAAGACCGGGGCUUAACUUCGGAAAGGCAGUGGAAACUGAACAGCUAGAGUAUGGUAGGGGCAGAGGGAAUUCCUGGUGUAGCGGUGAAAUGCGUAGAGAUCGGGAGGAACAUCAGUGGCGAAGGCGGCCAUCUGGGACAACACUGACGCUGAAGCACGAAAGCGUGCGGAGCAAACAGG